UAGGGAAUAUUGGUAAUCUGCGAAAGCGGGAACCAGCAACGCAGCGUGUGCGAUGAAGGCCUUCGGGUUGUAAAGCACUUUUUGAGGGGAUGAGGAAGGACAGUACCCUCAGAAUAAGCCUCGGCUAACUACGUGCCAGCAGCCGCGGUAACACGUAGGAGGCAAGCGUUAUUCGGAUUUACUGGGCGUAAAGCGCGUGCAGGCGGUUCGGUAAGUUGGAUGUGAAAGCUCCUGGCUUAACUGGGAGAGGUCGUUCAAUACUACCGAACUAGAGGAUGAGAGAGGGAGGUGGAAUUCCGAGUGUAGUGGUGGAAUGCGUAGAUAUUCGGAGGAACACCAGUGGCGGAAGCGGCCUCCUGGCUCAUAACUGAAGCUCAGACGCGAAAGCUAGGGUAGCAAACG
rnacentral:rRNA from 1 species